UACGUAGGCAGCGAGCGUUGUUCGGAGUUACUGGGCGUAAAGCGUGCGUAGGCGGUGGUCCAAGUCUGGUGUGAAAUCUCCCGGCUCAACUGGGAGGGUGCGCCGGAAACUGGGCCGCUGGAGUGCGGGAGAGGCAAGCGGAAUUCCAGGUGUAGCGGUGAAAUGCGUAGAUAUGUGGAGGAACACCGAUGGCGAAGGCAGCCUUCUGGGCCAACACUGACGCUCAUGCACGAAAGCGUGGGGAGCAAACAGG
rnacentral:rRNA from 1 species